GAUGAAGAACGUAGCGAAAUGCGAUAAGUAAUGUGAAUUGCAGAAUUCAGUGAAUCAUCGAAUCUUUGAACGCACAUUGUGCCCGCCAGUAUUCUGGCGGGCAUGCCUGUUCGAGCGUCAUUUCAACCAUCAAGCCCCCGGCUUGUGUUGGGGACCUGCGGCUGCCGCAGGCCCUGAAAACCAGUGGCGGGCUCGCUAGUCACUCCGAGCGUAGUAAUACAUCUCGCUCAGGGCGUGCUGCGGGUUCCGGCCGUUAAAAAAGCCUUAUUUACCCAAGGUUGACCUCGGAUCAGGUAGGAAGACCCGCUGAACUUAAGCAUAUCAAUAAGCGGAGGA
rnacentral:misc_RNA from 1 species